CCGUAGCUCAGUGGCAGAGCGCCCGGCUCAUAACCGGUUGGUCCCAGGUUCAAAUCCUGGCGGG
rnacentral:tRNA from 1 species